CCGAGUUCUCGCCCUCGCGGACGGACCUCCUACCCACUGUUAUCAACUACCUUCGUUGCUUUGGCGGGCCGCCAGGCCUGGCCUGGCCGCCGGUCCCCCGCCGGCGCGCGCCCGCCAGAGGCCCCAAAACUCUGAAUGUUGACGUUGUCCGAGUACUAUACAAUAGUCA
rnacentral:misc_RNA from 1 species